GCACCUGUAGCUCAGUUGGUAGAGCGCCGGUUUUACACACCGGAUGUCGUCGGUUCGAACCCGGCCGGGUGCA
rnacentral:tRNA from 1 species